AAUAUGACUCUCGGCAACGGAUAUCUCGGCUCUCGCCACGAUGAAGAAUGUAGCGAAAUGCGAUACUUAGUGUGAAUUGCAGAAUCCCGUGAAUCAUCGAGUCUUUGAACGCAAGUUGCGCCCGAGGCUUCGGCCGAGGGCACGUCUGCUUGGGCGUCGCAU
rnacentral:rRNA from 1 species